CCUACGGGAUGCAGCAGUGAGGAAUAUUGGUCAAUGGGCGCGAGCCUGAACCAGCCAAGUAGCGUGAAGGAUGACUGCCCUACGGGUUGUAAACUUCUUUUAUACAGGAAUAAAGUGAGGCACGUGUGCCUUUUUGUAUGUACUUUAUGAAUAAGGACCGGCUAACUCAGUGCCAGCAGCCGCGGUAAUACGGAGGCUCCGCGCGUGAUCCGGAUUUCUUGGGUUUAAAGGGAAAGUAGAUGGGUUGUUAAGCAUGUUGUGAAAGUGUGCGGCUCAACCGUACAAUUGCAAUUCAUACUGGCAGCCUUGAGGACAGUUGAGGUAGGCGGAAUUCGUGGUGUAGCGGUGAAAUGCUUAGAUAUCACGAAGAACUCCGAUUGCGAAGGCAGCCUACUAAACUGCCACUGACAUUGAUGCUCGAAAGUGUGGGUAUCGAACAGGAUUAGAUACCCCUGUAGUC
rnacentral:rRNA from 1 species